AGGUUACACAGGUCUAUCAAAAUGACUUCUCUCAGGACAGUAUACCAAAUUUCUCAGGAGAGUCAAGACCUCAUAUUUCCUUUAGUAAGGUUUAUAGAUAUGACCUAGAUGAAAACCAGAGGAAACUGACAGUGGCAAAUAAUUACCAAACUUAAAUGUGGGAGGAAUGACAGUGACCGCACUGAAGAAGCAGCUGACCAAAGGCUUGGAUUUUGGACUCACAUCCGUCACUUAACAGUUGUGUCAUACUGGGCACAUCACUAAACCUCAGUGAGUGAACAUAGUUUUCGUUACUGUGAGGAUGGAUGAAAACCACAGAGAAUUAUUCUGGUUUUUCCCCAUCCUGGAGAGCUGUGUAGGAAACAAAACUGAUGAAAUGCUGGCGAAGAACUUCAAGUGGAUAAAUAUAUACAGAUUUGCACAUGCUUGAGAGGGCACAGAGCUGUAGUUGGGAACAUGGGUCUUCACACGGAUGCUGCUUCCUUCCCAUCAAUCUGUGAGUUCCAAGUCAUUUUCGGGACGACUACCAUAGGCUACCCAAGGUGGCAGUAAGCCUUACUUGAUGCAAACUUUGUGUGACCUUCCAUUGCUACUACGAAGUAAAGAAAAGGUGUGUUCUUUUUAAAACCAGCAAAUACUUGAAGCUCAAUUCUACAAAGCACUCAUGGUGCUUCAGUCACCCUAGUUAAAAGUUGAUUGGUUGGUUUUCUAAUAAGUUAGUAGCCCUUUUCUUGUAAACCACAGCAGUAAACAUUUGUGCCCUGUUUAUAAAGAUAGCUCAAAGCAUCAAUGGCUCUGAGAGGUAGCGAAUUCUCUAGUGGUUUUAGAAUAUAUCUGUGAAAGUAGGUGCCAGAACCCAUCACCUCUUAUUUAAAUAAUUUCAUAAAUAAAAUGAAAUUAGCACCUGGCUAUGAGAUUGUUUUUUUUUUUU